rnacentral:tRNA from 1 species
UUGUAAAUUAGUGUAAGAUGCACAUUAACUUUUGAUGUAAUGAGACUAAGUUUAAUUCUUAGAUUUACAAU